rnacentral:rRNA from 1 species
CUCGGAUAUAUUUACCGGAGGUAAAGCACUGAAUGGUCGAGGGGUCGAGAGACUACCAACACCUAUCAAACUAAGAAUACCGGAUAAAUGAGUUCGGGAGUCAGACUACGUGAGAUAAGUCUCGUGGUCAAAAGGGAAACAGCCCAGACCCACAGCUAAGGUCCCCAAUGUAUGCUAAGUGGAAAACGAUGUGACAAUGCUAAGACAACUAGGAUGUUGGCUUAGAAGCAGCCACUCAUUCAAAGAGUGCGUAAUAGCUCACUAGUCGAGUGAUGUUGCGCGGAAAAUUCAACGGGGCUAAGCAUACAACCGAAGCUUGGGCAGUAGUAAUACUGGGUAGGGGAGCGUUCUGUACGGGCAGAAGCAUCAGCGGAAGCAGGUGUGGACUGUACAGAAGUGAGAAUGCCGGAAUGAGUAGCGAGAAUUGUGUGAGAAUCAUAAUGGCCGAAAAUCUAAGGUUUCCGGGGGUAGGGUCGUCCACCCCGGGUUAGCCGGGAGCUAAGGCGAGGCCGCGAGGCGUAGUCGAUGCACAAACGGUAGAGAUUCCGUUGCCGCCAGAUCUUAAGUAACUGACACGAGGGUAGAGUUCAACCCGGCCGAUGGUAGAGCCGGGCGAAAGGGACUGAAGAAUAGUAGGGAAGUGAACGAAGCCAGCGGCGAGAAAAGGUUAUGUAUGAAAUCAGGCGCCCGUACCGCAAACCGACACAGGUAGAUGAGGAGAGGAUCCUAAGGCCAACGGGAGAAGGGUUGUUAAGGAACUCGGCAUAUUGACCCCGUAACUUCGGAAGAAGGGGUGCCUCCGUAAGGAGGCCGCAGUGAAAAGGCCCAGGCAACUGUUUAUCAAAAACACAGGUUUCUGCAAAAGCGAAAGCUGAAGUAUAGGAGCUGACGCCUGCCCGGUGCUGGAAGGUCAAGGGGAUCGCUUAGCGCAAGCGAAGGCGAGAACUUAAGCCCCAGUAAACGGCGGCCGUAACUAUAACGGUCCUAAGGUAGCGAAAUUCCUUGUCAGGUAAGUUCUGACCCGCAUGAAAGGCGUAAUGAUCUGGGCACUGUCUCAACAGCCCGCCCGGCGAAAUUGUAGUACCGGUGAAGAUGCCGGUUUCCUGCGACUAGACGGAAAGACCCCAUGGAGCUUUACUGUAGUCUGAUACUGAAAUUUGGUUCAUUAUGCACAGGAUAGGUGGGAGACAGAGAAACCCGGGCUUUGGCUUGGGCGGAGUCGCCGUUGGGAUACCACUCUUGAUGAACCAAGUUUCUAACCUGCUCCCGUGAUCCGGGAGGGGGACAAUGUCAGAUGGGCAGUUUGACUGGGGCGGUCGCCUCCAAAAGAGUAACGGAGGCGUUCAAAGGUUGGCUCAGCGCGGACGGAAAUCGCGCAAUGAGUAUAAACGUAUAAGCCAGCCUAACUGUGAGACCUACAAGUCGAGCAGUAACGAAAGUUGGAGUUAGUGAUCAGGUGGUAGUGAGUGGAAAUGCCAUCGCUUAACGGAUAAAAGCUACCCUGGGGAUAACAGGCUGAUCUCCCCCAAGAGUUCACAU